AUGUAGUAUGAGAGUAAAGAAGGCUAGCACUUCCCUUCAUAGGAAUGUAAGAGGUCUUAGUAGCUUUUAAAAUACAUCUAGGGUAAGGUUAUCACUAUCUACUCUGUAGCAUCUAACCAGCUUUGA